rnacentral:rRNA from 1 species
UGGGGAAUAUUGCACAAUGGGCGCAAGCCUGAUGCAGCCAUGCCGCGUGUGUGAAGAAGGCCUUCGGGUUGUAAAGCACUUUCAGCGAGGAGGAAGGUGGUGAACUUAAUACGUUCAUCAAUUGACGUUACUCGCAGAAGAAGCACCGGCUAACUCCGUGCCAGCAGCCGCGGUAAUACGGAGGGUGCAAGCGUUAAUCGGAAUUACUGGGCGUAAAGCGCACGCAGGCGGUUUGUUAAGUCAGAUGUGAAAUCCCCGGGCUCAACCUGGGAACUGCAUUUGAAACUGGCAAGCUAGAGUCUCGUAGAGGGGGGUAGAAUUCCAGGUGUAGCGGUGAAAUGCGUAGAGAUCUGGAGGAAUACCGGUGGCGAAGGCGGCCCCCUGGACGAAGACUGACGCUCAGGCUGCGAAAGCGUGGGGCAGCAAACAGGAUUAGAUACCCUGGUAGUCCACGCUGUAAACGAUGUCGAUUUGGAGGUUGUGCCCUUGAGGCGUGGCUUCCGGAGCUAACGCGUUAAAUCGACCGCC